rnacentral:rRNA from 1 species
AAUGAACGUUGGCGGCAUGGAUUAGGCAUGCAAGUCGAGCGAGAAGUGUAGCAAUACACGGAAAGCGGCGGAAGGGAGAGUAAUACGUGGGAAUCUGCCCUUAGACCUGGGAUAGCAGCGGGAAACUGCUGGUAAUACCAGAUAAUGUCUAUGGACCAAAGGUGUGAUUCCGUCGAGGGCUGAGCCGACGUCCUAGUAGCUAGUUGGUAGGGUAAUGGACUACCAAGGCGAUGAUGGGUAGCGGGUGUGAGAGCAUGACCCGCAUCACUGGGACUGAGACACUGCCCAGACACCUACGGGUGGCUGCAGGCGAGAAUCUUCGGCAAUGGGCGCAAGCCUGACCGUGCGAUGCCGCGUGCGGGAUGAAGGCCUUCGGGUUGUAAACCGCUGUCGAGGGGGAGCAACUUCCAUAGAGUUAUCUUUAUGGAUUGAGUGAUCCCUGGAGGAAGGACGGGCUAAGUUCGUGCCAGCAGCCGCCGUAAUAC